AGCGAACGCUGGCGGCAGGCCUAACACAUGCCAGUCGAACGAACUCUUCGGAGUUAGUGGCGGACGGGUGAGCAACACGUGGGAACGUGCCUUUUGGUUCGGAAUAACUCAGGGAAACUUGUGCUAAUACCGAAUGUGCCCUUCGGGGGAAAGAUUUAUCGCCAUUAGAGCGGCCCGCGUCUGAUUAGCUAGUUGGUGAGGUAACGGCUCACCAAGGCGACGAUCAGUAGCUGGUCUGAGAGGAUGACCAGCCACACUGGGACUGAGACACGGCCCAGACUCCUACGGGAGGCAGCAGUGGGGAAUCUUGCGCAAUGGGCGAAAGCCUGACGCAGCCAUGCCGCGUGAAUGAUGAAGGUCUUAGGAUUGUAAAAUUCUUUCACCGGGGACGAUAAUGACGGUACCCGGAGAAGAAGCCCCGGCUAACUUCGUG
rnacentral:rRNA from 1 species